AGGGAGCUAAAAUGUUUAACUUGCUAAGGAGCUUGGUUCAUCCUGAGAAACUAUGGGAUAAUAAUGACAGAAACAUCUGGUGGCGGUAAUGCACCCUUAACAAUGGAUGCCAACCGUCGUUAAACCCCAUCAAAGAAGAACAGAGUAAUGUUAACGCUACUCCGCCUGAAGUACUAAAAGAAAGCUAUCUACUUGAAGGUAGAAGAGGGAGUAAGAUGACAAGAAAGUAGAACGCUGCCAGACAGCCACAGGAUCUCUAGAGGCCUAUGCAUGCUGUGACAUGAGCCUGGAUGGGGACUCAUAUGCUUCCAGCUGCCAGACUGAAUACUGGGGCCUUCAGUGGUACCUUACCUGACAUUACAGCAAGAGACUCCUUAUCUCUGUUUCGCGGCCAUUUAACAUCAACAUGUAUUUUAUGUAUUUCAUUCAUACAAACUGCUACAGACACAAUAACAGACUUAUAUUCACUUUUCUAUUUGUCCUAUUCUUCAGGAUUGUCUGGGAUAUACAGUGGGGCAAAAAAGUAAAAAGAUGAGAGAGGCCUGUAAUUUUCAUCAUAG